rnacentral:rRNA from 1 species
AUUGAUUUUUUGUUUCUUCACUAGCUUCACAUAAUCCUGAAAACACAAGUUUUCUCCAAGCCUCUUGCGCACAUCUCUGAUUGAAGGGUACUAUUCUAUAAUGUUUCUUUAGUAGACCCCCCUGCUAAUCUGAGCGAGUUUUCAUAUACUGUAUACACAAAUACAUGA